rnacentral:rRNA from 1 species
CCUACGGGAGGCUGCAGUGAGGAAUAUUGGUCAAUGGGCGAGAGCCUGAACCAGCCAAGUCGCGUGAGGGAGUACUGCCCUAUGGGUUGUAAACCUCUUUUGUCGGGGAGCAACAGCCGGACGUGUCCGGCUGUGAGAGUACCCGAAGAAAAAGCAUCGGCUAACUCCGUGCCAGCAGCCGCGGUAAUACGGAGGAUGCGAGCGUUAUCCGGAGUUUUUGGGUUUAAAGGGUGAGCAGGCGGAUUUUUAAGUCAGCGGUCAAAUUGUGGGGCUCAACCCCGUCCAGCCGUUGAAACUGGGGAUCUAGAGUGGGCGAGAGGUAGGCGGAAUGCGUGGUGUAGCGGUGAAAUGCAUAGAUAUCACGCAGAACCCCGAUUGCGAAGGCAGCAUACCGGUGCACAACUGACGCUCAGGCACGAAAGCGUGGGUAUCGAACAGGAUUAGAUACCCUGGUAGUC